UGGGGAAUAUUGCACAAUGGGCGCAAGCCUGAUGCAGCAACGCCGCGUGAGGGACGACGGCCUUCGGGUUGUAAACCUCUUUUAGUAGGGAAGAAGCGAAAGUGACGGUACCUGCAGAAAAAGCACCGGCUAACUACGUGCCAGCAGCCGCGGUAAUACGUAGGGUGCGAGCGUUGUCCGGAAUUAUUGGGCGUAAAGAGCUCGUAGGCGGUCUGUCGCGUCUGCUGUGAAAACCCGAGGCUCAACCUCGGGCCUGCAGUGGGUACGGGCAGACUAGAGUGCGGUAGGGGGGAAUGGAAUUCCUGGUGUAGCGGUGGAAUGCGCAGAUAUCAGGAGGAACACCGAUGGCGAAGGCAGUUCUCUGGGCCGUAACUGACGCUGAGGAGCGAAAGCGUGGGGAGCGAACAGGAUUAGAUACCCUGGUAGUCCACGCCGUAAACGUUGGGCGCUAAGAUGUGGGGACCAUUCCACGGUUUCCGUGUCGCAGCUAACGCAUUAAGCGCCCCGCCUGGGGAGUACGGCCGCAAGGCUAAAACUUAAAUGAAUUGACGGGGUCAUAGCU
rnacentral:rRNA from 1 species